CCUACGGGUCGCAGCAGUGGGGAAUAUUGCACAAUGGGCGCAAGCCUGAUGCAGCCAUGCCGCGUGUAUGAAGAAGGCCUUCGGGUUGUAAAGUACUUUCAGCGGGGAGGCGUUACCCGCAGAAGAAGCACCGGCUAACUCCGUGCCAGCAGCCCGGUAAUACGGAGGGUGCAAGCGUUAAUCGGAAUUACGGGCGUAAAGCGCACGCAGGCGGUCUGUAAGUCGGAUGUGAAAUCCCCGGGCUCAACCUGGGAACUGCAUUCGAAACUGCAGGCUGGAGUCUUGUAGAGGGGGGUAGAAUUCCAGGUGUAGCGGUGAAAUGCGUAGAGAUCUGGAGGAAUACCGGUGGCGAAGGCGGCCCCCUGGACAAAACUGACGCUCAGGUGCGAAAGCGUGGGGAGCAAACAGGAUUAGAUACCCUUGUAGUC
rnacentral:rRNA from 1 species